GACGAACGCUGGCGGCGUGCUUAACACAUGCAAGUCGAACGGAAAGGCCCUGCUUUUGUGGGGUGCUCGAGUGGCGAACGGGUGAGUAACACGUGAGUAACCUGCCCUUGACUUUGGGAUAACUUCAGGAAACUGGGGCUAAUACCGGAUAGGAGCUCCUGCUGCAUGGUGGGGGUUGGAAAGUUUCGGCGGUUGGGGAUGGACUCGCGGCUUAUCAGCUUGUUGGUGGGGUAGUGGCUUACCAAGGCUUUGACGGGUAGCCGGCCUGAGAGGGUGACCGGCCACAUUGGGACUGAGAUACGGCCCAGACUCCUACGGGAGGCAGCAGUGGGGAAUAUUGCACAAUGGGCGGAAGCCUGAUGCAGCAACGCCGCGUGCGGGAUGACGGCCUUCGGGUUGUAAACCGCUUUCGCCUGUGACGAAGCGUGAGUGACGGUAAUGGGUAAAGAAGCACCGGCUAACUACGUGCCAGCAGCCGCGGUGAUACGUAGGGUGCGAGCGUUGUCCGGAUUUAUUGGGCGUAAAGGGCUCGUAGGUGGUUGAUCGCGUCGGAAGUGUAAUCUUGGGGCUUAACCCUGAGCGUGCUUUCGAUACGGGUUGACUUGAGGAAGGUAGGGGAGAAUGGAAUUCCUGGUGGAGCGGUGGAAUGCG
rnacentral:rRNA from 1 species